GAAUUGCCUGCAUGGCUCUACUGCAACCAGUAACCUUUUUUUCUUUUUUUUUUUUUAUACAGAGACAGGGAGAGAGAGAGAGAGAGUUAAGGGGAAAGAGAGAGAGAGAGAGACCUGCAGCACUACUCCACCAUUUGUGAAGCUUCUGCCUGUUGGAACUGGAGGCUUGAACUCGAAUCCUUGUGCACUGUAAUGUGUGUGGUCUUCUGGGCGUACUACCACCCAGCCCCCUUCUAUAGCUUUCUAACUCAGAAAACUUUGAGGAAAAGAAGGUCAGAAGAGGGAAGAUGAAAGAGAAGGAAAAGGAGGGGAGGGUUGAGUAAAAGGAAGGAGAAAGAGGAGAAGAGGAGGAGGAGAAUGAAGAGGUGAUGAUGGUGGUAAUGGUGGCAAGACUGGAGGUAUAUGCAAAUGUAAGUUCCUGGAUAAACUUAAGUUCAAUCUUCUCCACUAAAUGACUCUUCCUUUGGGAAAAGCCUUUCUUCUCAGAGGCCAUUUCCAUUCUAUCUCUAGGGCCUCUCCUAUGAAGUCAAUCUUUUGUCAAAGACAUAUUUUAGGCUGGCAGAUUUUUGCUCCUCUGUAUUCAGUAGUUCUAUCUCUCUUGUCCUAGGCCUUUGAAAUAAAGGAAUUUUCCUCUUGCCAACAUUAAGAGAACCCUAGACAUCCCCAGGCUGCCCCUGGCAAAAUUCUGGAACUACUUUUUGUUUUUGUUUUUGUUUUUCCCUGUUUUAAACUUUCCUCACUCUGCUCAUUCCCUUGUUCUUUUAGUGUAUCCAUUCUACAAACACACAUUGAGAGGCGACUCUCUGUGUUACUGUUGGGGUGCAGCGGAGAACCAGACAUGAGCUCACUCUCUCCCAGGCCCACUUGGUGUCUGACCUCACAGCCCCAACUUUCACAUCUGGAGAGACCCCACAGUGAAACCCUGGCGGCCAGAGCUGUUGCCUGCUGUCUGAUGCAACAGUUUGCAACGCUGAUUCUGGGAGCUGAGCCUGCCGCGGGGCGCCCUGCCUGCGCGCAUGCGCGGACUGCGGCCCGCCCGAGAGGGGGGGCGAGAAGCUUUUGGCCAGAUGUGCUGGGGGCGGGGCAGGCUGCGGACCUCUGGCUGCUGGCGCUGGCGAUCCGAGCUUAAUUAAAUUUCUCCGGAGGCCUUGGCUGACUGAUUGACCCAGUAAUCCAAAGAAAUCAGAGGCCCGAAGCGCCCUCCCCAGUGCCUGGAGAGAAAAGUUAGGGAGUUCGUUUUCGAAUUCCAGGGUUAGGCCUUGAGGGGCGGUGGGGGAAAAGGGGGGCAGCCACAGGCUCUGUGGUUCCAAAACCCCGAGGGAGCUCAAGCCUAGCUGAUCUAGACUACGUUUCUCACGAAGGGAUUUAAAAAAAAAAGUCUGGAAGCAUCUUUGUUACUAUCUUCCUGCCUCCACCCAGGUGCCUUCGGUUUUAUUAGCAAAAGGGAAAAUAGCAUCAUGGAUGGUUUUCCACGUCUUUUUCAGCCAGUUAGGACUUGCCUGCCUGGUUUUUCUUUUGCUUUUUUUCUUUCCAAACCCGCAUUCCACCUCGAAUAUAUAUAUAAAACAU